UAGUCCACACCGUAAACGAUGAGUGCUAGCUGUUGGAACCUAGUUUCAGCGGCAAAGCUAACGCGUUAAGCACUCCGCCUGGGAAGUACGGUCGCAAGAUUAAAACUCAAAGGAAUUGACGGGGACCCGCACAAGCGGUGGAGCAUGUGGUUUAAUUCGAUGCUACGCGAAGAACCUUACCACCUUUUGACAUCCCUAUCGCGACCCAUAUAAUAGUGGGUUUUCGGUUCGGCCGGAUAGGAGACAGGUGUUGCAUGGCUGUCGUCAGCUCGUGUCGUGAGAUGUUGGGUUAAGUCCCGCAACGAGCGCAACCCUUAUCCUUAGUUACCAGCGGAUUAUGCCGGGGACUCUAAGGAAACUGCCCGUGACGAGCGGGAGGAAGGCGGGGAUGACGUCAAGUCAUCAUGGGCCCUUACAAGGGUGGGGCUACACACGUGCUACAAUGGGGAGUUACAACGGGGCUGCUACACGGUGACGUGAUGCUAAUCUCAAAAAGCUACCCUCAGUUCGGGAUUGGGAGUCUGCAAC
rnacentral:rRNA from 1 species